rnacentral:rRNA from 9 species
CCGUCCGAUGGUCUGUGACAACACCGUACCUCGUCCGCUCUGACAUACAUAAGCACUGAACCGGGCGACUAGUACUAGAGCGGGGGGGUGACCGUCUGGGAAUCCCGCCUAUCGUAUGUU